UUUGUCUUUCCUGUCAGUUAUUGACUUCAUCAAGUCAUCCUCAAACGUUAUGGAAUUCUUUCGGUUUCUUUUUCUUUUGUUUCCAAUCCUUAAUUCCUUUCCCUUUUAUCUUCCACAAUUAUGAUUUUAUUUUACUUUCUUUCUCUCUUCGAACCAAACAACUCACUAUUUUGUAUUUUACUCACACUUCUUCUUCAACAAUUUGUAAAGAAGGAAAUUUUUUGAUAUCAGUUUGAUCGAAAAUAAUUAUGUUUCUAUAUUUAAAAAAUCAAAUUAGUUUCAGAUGGUUUUUCGUUGGUUUAUCAAUACGGGUUGUGGACUCAUGGUUGAAGGAUAUCGUUAUUCGGAGAAAAUACUGAUGCAAUUUGUGGCAUUUAAUUUGCAUCUUCUUGAUCAACAAAUACUCCUCAGAUUGAUGGAGGGGUGAUGUAAGUAGAAUACAUCGAAUUUGGGAGCAGUUGAUGGUUUUGAUUGAAUCGACAAGGCAAUAGGUAUUUUUGUUUGAAUUAAUUUUUACAAUUUAAUCUAUAUACCCGAUGUUUGCUUUGACAAUGUAUGGUUCCAAUUUCAACAAUUUUUUCUCUAACUUUCGAGUUUUAAUUUAGAUCUUUAGUGUUGAUGUGAGAAUUACUUAUUAACUUAGUUGUUAUCGCUGUUUAGAAAUUAAAUUGAUAGUUGUUUCAUGGAAAAAUCAUAAUUUAAGUUUUUUUUUUUUUUUUUUUUGAUUCCAAUGAGCCACAAGGGCAAUAUAAAUUACAAAUGGGAUGGGGGAUUCGAACCCGAGACCUAUUGUACACAGGCCCUCAGUCUUAACUACUAGGCCAAGACAUCAUUGGUAUAAUUUAAGUUUUAAUUGUGUGGCUUUUUGUUAUUUUUAGUUAGGUUUUUAUUUUAUUUUUAUAAUCAUGGCCGAAGCACACUAUUGUUGAAACUUGAAAGAAAACUGAUGCAAUUUGUGUUGAUAUUUAUGACCAGGUAAUUACUUUAUAAUUUUUUUAACCGUUUAAUUGUUGGUUUCUUUAUUCCUUUUAAGAUUUAAUUAAGAGUUGGAGAAAAUUUGGAUUCUAUCAUUUUUAAUGUAUGUCCUGUAAGAGUAUACCAAUGUGUUGAAUUCACUUGAAUGAUCUUCAAAUAUAGAAUAGAUAGUGUUAAGUACUGUUUGCAAAUAAUAUGUUACAAGUUCUAGAUUUUAUAGUUUGACCACGGAUUCAUAAGAUAAUGAUUUAUUUUGUGUGAUAUGAAGUUUUUCUAAAAGUAAUGAAUUGGUUGUGGAAUCUUGAUGCCCCUUAAAGUUGUUUGAAAAUCUGUUUUCUAUUCUUCAUCACUGGAAUUGUUACGAAUGUUGUAAUAACAAUUAACAAACGUUCUUCUUUUUUAAAAAGCAUACAAAUUUUGAUUAAUUCUAGAAUCUCUAUAAAGGGGAGUUAAUUUAAUGAUCCAAAAGAUCACACACGCGUGAUGUUGCAAGAAUCAAGUGCAGAGUGGUUGUUAUUGGGUAAUUUGCAAGCCUCAUAAGACAUGGGAAUUCAUAGAAGCAAUAUGGUAUGGUCGUUGCUUCAAAAAUAUAAGCCUGAUAGUCGUACUGAAGGUCUUAUAGCCGUUGGCUGUAUGUUCUUGGUUGCGAUGCGAUGCGAUGCGAUAUUGUGAGAACAGAUGUACCAUUUACUAAUUUAAUUCUCUUUCCCCGGGUGAUGUUGCUACUCACUACUGUUCUCUUAUGAUUUGAUCUAUUAUUGGUGGUGAUUCCUUAGAAGCAACCGUUGUGAGUUUGAUUCGUUGUUGUAAAAAUACAUCAUAUGUUCUAAUUUGAUAGUAUAAAGCAACUCAUUUACUUUGCUAUACAAAUGUAAUGGCUAUACUUUAAAACAUCGAGUACUGACUACUUAUGAGAAUAAUAUGUGAAAGAGUGUUUCACUUAAUUUUGAGAAAAUAUGUACUUUAUAGUCAUUAAUUUAUUUAAAAGAUUAA